CAAAUCCUUUCCAUCAGCGAUUUAAAAUAUAGUUUACGAUUAAUUUUGAUAUGUUUUUUGUUAAACCACCCCCACAUCUAUAUAUAUAUAUACAAGUUUCUGCAAGGCGCAUAUAGAAGAUUUAACAAUCGCCCCACAUUUAUACGCGCCGAAAUUUGCAUACUUAUCUUAUUUUACAUACGAUAUGUUGAUAUCAGUUAACUUAAUAUUUGAAUGUACAAAUAGCACUGUCUAUGCACUUGAAGCACUUGUAAAUAUCAGUCCAUUCCGACACGGAAGAGAACAGUGACAUUAUGAGAGGACCUGAUAUCAGGAAAUUCGAAACCGAUAGCAGACAUUAGAAAUGGCGUCCAACCGGCUUUCUUCGAAAUCGCUUGCCGAAGCGAACCUGAAAAUGCUUGACAACGAGGCUCUAUGUGACGUCACACUAACGGCCGGAAAGGAGAAACACGAGAUAAGGUGUCAUAAAGUAAUAUUGGCCAGCCGAAGUCCGGUUUUUUAUGCUAUGUUUUGCGGGCCGCUCGCGGAGUCAGGUGACGUCAUUCCUAUUCCGGAUAUUGAACCAUCUACGUUGGCAAUGUUUGUGAGG